AACCCACUGAGCAAGGCCAGGGAUCGAACCCACAACCUCACGGUUCCUUGUCGGAUUCGUUAACCACUGCGCCACCAACGGGAACUACUGCUAAGCUUUUCUUUACACAGGAAGAUGAUUAAGCUGUUUGAGACUUAAGGGCAGGGAUUCCCUCUGAGGUCAUUAAGAGAACCUGUGCAUAAAGAAGUAGCUAGGAGUUCCCGUUGUGGCUCAGUGGUUAACGAAUCCAUGAGGUUGAGGGUUCGUUAACCACUGAACCAUGACAGGAACUCCAACACUUUUAUUCUUUAAUAAACUAAUUUACAGUUUCACCUCAUUAACAUCCUUACCAGAUUUCUAAUAUUAAGGUUAAAAGGGUUCCUAGAAAUGAAUCAGAGGAUAGAAUUCUGACAUGGCAGCCUGAGAAGCUCCAUGGACUUGAUCCCUAAAGAAACAAAAAAAC